GAUGAACGCUGGCGGCGUGCCUAAUACAUGCAAGUCGAGCGAACAGACGAGGAGCUUGCUCCUCUGACGUUAGCGGCGGACGGGUGAGUAACACGUGGAUAACCUACCUAUAAGACUGGGAUAACUUCGGGAAACCGGAGCUAAUAUCGGAUAAUAUAUUGAACCGCAUGGUUCAAUAGUGAAAGACGGUUUUGCUGUCACUUAUAGAUGGAUCCGCGCCGCAUUAGCUAGUUGGUAAGGUAACGGCUUACCAAGGCGACGAUGCGUAGCCGACCUGAGAGGGUGAUCGGCCACACUGGAACUGAGACACGGUCCAGACUCCUACGGGAGGCAGCAGUAGGGAAUCUUCCGCAAUGGGCGAAAGCCUGACGGAGCAACGCCGCGUGAGUGAUGAAGGUCCUCGGAUCGUAAAACUCUGUUAUUAGGGAAGAACAAAUGUGUAAGUAACUAUGCACGUCUUGACGGUACCUAAUCAGAAAGCCACGGCUAACUACGUG
rnacentral:rRNA from 1 species